rnacentral:lncRNA from 1 species
GUUCUAAUGUGUGUUGUUUUUUUUUUUUUUUAUGGUGAUGGUUGUUAUUUUAUUUAUUAUUUUAUUUCACAAAUAACGCUGCACUGUUACAAAUAAUAAAUUCUUUCCCUUCCUUAACAGCCAUUAGCAUAUGUAAUUUUGGCUAGCAGCUUGAAUAAACACAUCCCUUCCCAUCAAGGCGGCAUAAACAGAUUGGGUGCUGCCUGAUCCAAGACACCUUUACUCUUUCUUAGGCAUUUGUGUAAUCUUGCAAGAUGCCUUGGAAACUUCAGAGUUUCCAGCAUAACUGAAAGUGUUAACAUCAGACAUCUAAUGCAUAAAUGCUCUUUCUUUCUCUGCCUCUCGUGUUCCAUUUGGAAGGCAAUUUUACCACCAUUUAUUUUAUUUAAGCCCCACUUUGGAAUGAAGUAAGGUUAUCGCUCUCCUAGUUUAUUUUUUCCUGUCCCAUCUUUGUUUUCUGUGGUCUUGGAAGACUGCUUGUCUUGUUUUCCCACUUGGCAUACAUUCCGUAAAUGUUUUAGUUGUCUCCAAGGCCACGAAGCUAAAAGGCCAUAGAGGAGUUGGGUGCUUGACUGGAAAGACGUGACCAAUGUGAAAAUCCUACUUCUCUUUAGUUUAGAGUUAGCAGAAAUGUGUAUUUCUACAGUUUUGGAAGGAAAUUACAGUGGCAUGGGCAUCAUAUUCAUGAGCUACCUCAAGUACCUUCACCUACUUUGACAACUCCGAUGCUUGCACUUGUCUCCUGUACAUAUUGAUACUUCGUAAGAGAGUGCAUGGGGAUAGCCAGACCUUCAGUGUAACCAUUCUCCUUACAUUUUCAUGCGAUGAAACUUGUGGAAACUGCCACCAGUUCAAGCCUUCCUGACUGGCUGCUGUCAUCCUUGGAGCAGUUUCUUCAGUUCAGAGUGUCCAAGAGUCAAUACCAUUGGCUCCUCUGGGAAGCAUAUGGAGCUCCAUGUCAUCCACACACCUGUUUUUCAGAGACAGCAACUCCCAUCACCUGGAAAUGUUUAUUUGUGUGGAUGUCCACGAACACAGAGACAAGUGCGUGGGUGUGUGUUUAUAUAUUUAACUAUGCAGAAAUAAACUUUCUGGAUGGAAGUUGAUAAGGGUCAAUUGGAAAACAAAGCACUGAAUGGCUAAAAUAAUAAAAAGUCCUUUUCGUGUCCUCA